GGGGACGUAUCGAUCGACAGAUAAUAGCUCUUUUAAAUGGCAAGCCGGCGAUGAUAAACGAGCCGUAAAACUUUAUCGAAAAAUAACUGCUAACGAAUCAGCAGAAGAGCUUGAAGCGAUUGAGGCAUUUUAUAUGAAUCAGCGCUUCGCUCGACUCUACGCUUAAACUUUUUAAGCCACGAGUCCAUCGAUUAUUCUUUCUCCCGAUGAAGAAUAAUUCGGUGUAAACAUGAGUCGGGACGACAGAAGUUAAUCGGUCAAUUAACUUUGGAGGAUUCUGACUAAAACUGUUGUGAUAAGUCUUUGUCAGUUAAGACCACACUUUUAAUUAAUUGACUAAGCUUGUAGAAAUUUAAAGGAAUUAUGUCUGGACGAGAGUUCACUACUCUCCGUCUCCACAA
rnacentral:tmRNA from 1 species